rnacentral:lncRNA from 1 species
GGGUCUCGCACCUCAAAUUCGCCUUUGACUUGCCCCACGAUCAGCUGGGAGUCAGAGAAGACUCUGAGGCUGUCGAUCCCGAGCUUCUUCACUACUUUCAAGCCAGCGAGGAGCGCUUCAUACUCGACUUGAUUAUUGGAGGCUUUGAAGUCAAACCGGAGGGCGUACUUGGUGACCACUCCUUCUGAGUUGGUGAGCAGGAACCCGGCCCCACUCCCUUGAGCGUUGGAAGCUCCAUUGAUGUGCAACACCCAGGUGGACCCGGGGUC